AGAAAUUGAUGUUACAAAAGGAGAAAAUUUCCUUUCCGGUCUUACCAGUGACAGACUGAACCUGGAGACACAGGCCGGAAAGAUUGAGAAGUAAAUCAUGAUACUCUGA